rnacentral:sRNA from 1 species
UGCCUGGCUCCCUGUAUGC